rnacentral:lncRNA from 10 species
AGGCUUGGAAGGUGAGGACAUUCCAUACAGUGUGAAUAGAAAUAGCAAGGGCACUGAGGUAAAAGGGGCUUUUGAGUUUUGGAGGGAUCUGGUAUAGCUUAGAGUGGUGGUUCUCCAAUUAUAACAUGGAUAAGAGUUACGCAGGGAGCUCAUUUAAAAUGCAGAUUCAUGGGCACCCAUCUUAUCAAUAUUUUGAUUUGGUAGCCUGAAACCUGUAAUUUGAACAAGUUCAUCCAGAUAACAAACACCUUUUUAUAUAGCAGUAGAGGCUGUGUGAGGAACAAUGGCACAAAAUCAUGUUGCCACAGUAUUGGUGUGUACACGAACUAAUAUUUCAGAUAGGUGAGCGUGUGAGACAAUAAGAGAUUAUGUCAGAAAAUGAUGUCAGCUCUUUGAACUUGGUUUUGAGAGAUAAUAGCUUGACAAUGGAGCUAUUAUUUUCUUCCCUAAAGGCCACUACUUCACAGGAAAUAUUUAUUGAAUGGCUGAAUGAAUGAAUGCGGGCAGAAUUCUGAGAAAGCAAACUGAAAGUUUCCAGAACUGUGAGGAUUGCUUGCUUGUUUAACUUGACUGUAAGGGAAACAGUUUCAGAAUAGCCAGCUCUGAACCACUAAUUCAAGCCUUCCAAAAGCUGUCCUGGUGUAUGCAAUAUUGAUAUACGCAUACAUUUUCAUUCAAGUCUACAAACAAGGUAAAUGUAAUUAUCUUGUAGAUCAUCCGUGUAAACAAUCAUCACAGUUAUGUAGCCACUGCCAGAUAUAAGCCCUUGGAGCUAAGAUCUGGGAACAGAGAACAGGCUCUUACAUAAUUUCCCAGCUAGUCAGUGUUAGGGACUCUGAUUAAUGCUACAUGACAGGCUUUGAACUUUCUAUUCAGAUAGGUUUGCUUGCCUUUUGGAGUUCCUAGCAAGACGAAACGUGUGACCUGCAGAUUUCAUUCUGAAUAACCAUCAUCCAGCCAACAACACUGACAUGGCUCUGUGGCCCUGUGGGUAACCGUUUCUGUGCCUCACUCCUCUGCCCAUAGACAAAUUGCAAUAAGAGCGUCAGGGUGGUUUCACGGAAGUGGAAUACAACUUCCUAAAGCCCAGUCGCUGAAGAAAGCCAUGGCAAACAGGCUGGUGGGCUCUUCUGGGUAUAAUCAGAAAAGCCCUAGAGGAGUGGCCAGAGAAAAGAAACUAUAGUAGGGAAGGAAGGAGUUCUGCUCUCUACCCGCCGCCGUUUAUAACAGUCUGUAAUAGCUUCGCAGCAUCUUUCCCUCCCUGAAGCUCCCGCGGAGCAGUUGAACACGCGCUUCCAGCAUCCCAGUCCCGCAGAGGAGCUGUCUCAGUUCUGACCAACUUUCUGAGCUUGGCCAAGUCUUCCCGGCUCCUCCGCUCAACUAUGGGUCCCUCCACCCAUCCCCUCAUCCCCACGAAGGUCCAGGUGAGGGGCCAGAACCCAGCGGCAGGGUAGAUACAACAGGGGAGGGGGAAACCCAUGGAGCCAGGGGAAGGCUGUCAUUGGCCAGCCGCGCUCCAGAGGGGAGGGCGAGGAGGUGGGCGAGGCAGGGCCCACAGACAUUGGUGCAGGCUCAGCCGUGCGCCCGGUGCCCUC